rnacentral:rRNA from 29 species
CACAUGACUCUCGGCAACGGAUAUCUCGGCUCUCGCAUCGAUGAAGAACGUAGCAAAAUGCGAUACCUGGUGUGAAUUGCAGAAUCCCGUGAACCAUCGAGUUUUUGAACGCAAGUUGCGCCCGAGGCCUUCUGGUCGAGGGCACGUCUGCCUGGGCGUCACGC